rnacentral:rRNA from 1 species
CCUACGGGAGGCAGCAGUGGGGAAUAUUGCGCAAUGGGCGAAAGCCUGACGCAGCGACGCCGCGUGAGGGAUGAAGGUUCUCGGAUCGUAAACCUCUGUCAGGGGGGAAGAAACCCCCUCGUGUGAAUAAUGCGAGGGCUUGACGGUACCCCCAAAGGAAGCACCGGCUAACUCCGUGCCAGCAGCCGCGGUAAUACGGAGGGUGCAAGCGUUAAUCGGAAUCACUGGGCGUAAAGCGCACGUAGGCGGCUUGGUAAGUCAGGGGUGAAAUCCCACAGCCCAACUGUGGAACUGCCUUUGAUACUGCCAGGCUUGAGUACCGGAGAGGGUGGCGGAAUUCCAGGUGUAGGAGUGAAAUCCGUAGAUAUCUGGAGGAACACCGGUGGCGAAGGCGGCCACCUGGACGGUAACUGACGCUGAGGUGCGAAAGCGUGGGUAGCAAACAGGAUUAGAUACCCCGGUAGUC